GCGCGGUCUGGUACAUCCCGGUGAAGCGGCCGCGCCGGGCCGGCGGCGCGUUGAAGGCGAUCAGCGCCUCGGUGCCGUUCCAUUCGGCCGCCGCGCCC
rnacentral:tRNA from 2 species